rnacentral:tRNA from 1 species
GGGCCGUUAGCUCAGCCGGUAGAGCAGCAGACUUUUAAUCUGUUGGUCGUGCGUUCGAUCCGCACACGGCCCACCA